UGCAGCUGGAGGCUUUGUUCAGAAUUGAUCCUGGGGAGCUCUGAACCCAAAGUUUCACAGUAGGAAGGGGGGAAAAAGAAAAGAAAACAUUUUUCUUAAUGUAACAAUACGAAUGGUAGAAAAUGACAAGACUGAUCGGUUCUAAACCAUUCUGAAGACUGACUGAGCGUGGAAGUUGCUCAACAAAAAAAAGGAACGGGUAUAUUGGUGGUCUUCUGGAGAAUGCAGUAUGUUAUGGCGCUACCUGAGAUGUCUGAUUGCCAGGGAGUUCCCUUGGAGUGUUUGGACUGCUGACCACAGAAUUGUUUUCUGAGCUUCGAAAUUCCUGGUCCACCAAGAGGCUGGGCUCGCAGCUGGAAUACGAUGAAGGCAUAAUCUGGAUCACCUAGGAAAGGACCAGGAUUAUGUGUUAUGACCCUCAUCAUGCAGCACAAGCAGUUUCCACCAUCAUCAAGAACCAGCUUCAAGCCAUUGGUUAAAGUAAAGUAGGACUGGAUGGCACUACGGAACUUCCAGAAUCCAAGUUGUUCUGAUUUGUACUUUUCCCAUUGGGGUCCAGAGAUCAUACACUGGGAGAUUAGAAAUUAUACUUGACCUUGCAGUGAACAAACCACAAAUUAGAGAGAGAGAGAGAGAGCACCAUGCUGUUUUGGCAAUAGGAUACAUAUCUAUUCCUCUUGACUAUGUUCUCUUGGCUUGCAUUGUUUUCAGCACUGUUAAGGGUGAAGGAUGCCAGCUAACAAUUUAUUAAUAGUAAUGAGUAGUUGGUUGGUGUAAGAUAGUCAGAUAAAUUGGUAAAAUGUAAUCAACUGGUGAUUGGGAAAUCAUGGCCCCCAAUUAUGAUGUGACUGGGUGGUAGGGGAAUCCAUUCCUGUCAUGGGUUAGAAAAUCAGCCUCUAAUUAUGAACGGACAGAAUUUUGUUUACAUGAAGACCUGAUCUCUCAACACAAGUGAUGGGUUACUCUUAAAUUGGUGUACAUAACUGAGCUUUUUGCUGGUCUCCUGGACACCCUAAUCUAAUGCAUUGGGAUGGAAUUUAGUGGAUAACUUAAUUCUGGAAGGGAGGGAAAUAAGGUCAUGCUUCUUACCAAAUUCCAUAGUUUCAGGAACAACCUGCACGUGGGCAGCAGUGAUAUAAAUCAAUAAUGGGAUAAUGACCCCAAGAUCAGUGCACAGUUAGUAGCACCCUUUUGAUGAGAGAUACUACCAUGUUGGCUGGUUGUUGUAAUGAUGAUAUUAAUGAACAUAACCACGCGUGGGUUUCACAAAGGUACUUAGGUGCCUCACUACCAUUAAAAUCAAUGGGAGUUAGGUGCUUAAAUACCUUUGCGAAUCCCAACCUACAGCACUUAUUUAUUAGGUGGAAUUCAGCACUAAAGCAGAGUCCAAAGGCAAAAGUGCCAAUUAUUGUAGGUUAGAGGACAAGCACAGGCCUAUAGAAUAGAAAACCCCUCACACUGCUACUAUGUGUUAUACAGGAGGGGUUUCUUUUUUAAAUUACUGUUAAAAAUAAGAAUGAACAUGAGCCAAUAAAGUUAAGUUUACUGCCAGGUUGUACCAUUUGUUUGGAACCAGAACUCCUCCUUGAUUUCUGCGGCGAGUCCUGCUUACAAAUGACUGGCACAAUAAGGCCCAUACUACAUAAAUUGUACAGCCACUUACACAGCCAGUGAAAUACAUGCAAACAUUAAUUAAGUUAACCUUGCUCAUUCAUAUUCAUGCAUGAGAAAGCCAUGUUCCCUGGAACUUUUAUACUUGUCAUUUGAUUUAUGUGCCCAGUACCGCAUUGACAAUUCUAUACUUUCCUUAGAAGAAAAGUCAAGAGAGGAAAGAGUUUCUGACCAUGUACAAACUAUUCUGGUCCAAAUGGCACUGAUGCACUGAAUAUAAGAGUAUAUAUCAGAAUUCACUAGAUGCAGAGAAUGACCUCCCGACACAUCAAAGAAUAUUCACAUUAAUGCUUCAUGAGUGUAAUUAACUUUUUUAAGCAUUGCAAACAUCAUGCCCUUUUGCAUUCUUGUGCUCUGCAGCUUACUAAUCAGCAAUGUUUGAUAUUUACUGCUAUUGCGUCUCUGUGUUUAUUGGGGUCGUGGUAACAGAUUCAUGAAUGAAAAAACGACGACAUUUGAAUGCUACAUCUCCUGGCCCAAAGAACACUGAAGUAACUGGAAAGACUUUCACUGGGCUUUGGAUCAGAUCCAGUAGCAAGCAUGAAGAACUGUCCAUCAUUUUGGUCUCACGGUAGCAUUUUUACCUUCCACCUAUAAAGUGGAAAUAAUGAUACUGACUUCCUUUGUAAAGUGCUUUGAGAUCUCCAGAUAAGAAGUGCAAAAUAAGAGCCAGGUGUUAUUAUAUUAAUAUAAUCCCUUAGACGUUUUAAGCAAUAAAAUAGCAUUCAAGGAGAAAGACUGUAUUUCAUUCUCUUUUCUACAGCAUGACUGAAAAACGAUUUUUUUAUUUAAAAAUCAGGAUCCAGAUUCAGUUUUGAUUGCAAUGCUCUGUACUGAAAGUAAGAAUAGUGAGAGCAAUUACAUGUUCGGAGUCCUGCUCGCUCAGAAGCGCCUUCCAUUCUGAGAGUGUUUAUGCAACUGUGUGUGUGGCACAAUGGUUUUUACUACCUUCUCUUAAAGCAGCCUGUAUAAACCACUUUCUUUUUGAUUGUUUCUCUUUAUAUUGUCAAGCAUGUUUGCAUUCUAAAGGGUUUUACCUCAUUAAAGCAAUUACUGUUAAACCUGCA